rnacentral:lncRNA from 1 species
AUUUAGUGGAAGAUCCAGGAUUUGAAUCCCAGUGUGUCUGAAACCAAAGCUAAUAUUCUUUUUACCACACCUCCUGCCUUUCUGUAGAAGUUUCUCCCUCAAUUUCCAUUCACAAGGUACCCCAACACAUAGUUGUAUAUUCUAGUUGUGAGUGCCUCCGAUUGUGCUAUGUGGGACGCUGCCCCAGCAUGACCUGAUGAGCAGUGCCGUGUCCGUGCCCAGGAUCUGAACCGUGAAACCCUGAAACGCCAAAGCCGUGUACCCGAACUUAACCACUCCACCAGAGGGUGGCGGGCCUGGGAACUGGGUGCACACUCUCACAAGUGAACUUCAGGUCUUUUUCAAGAGGUGGAAUCGAUAAAGAGAAAAAGAGGAAGGAAAUGUGGUAGCCAUGAAAAUGUCGUAGGCCGGAUCCAGUGAGCAUAGUUGACAUACAGCCCCUGCUGCUGGCCCUCUGCACCCACCACCACAUCACGCCGAGGCCUCACUUUCCUGAGCCCAGAGAGCCACUGCACAGGUCCAUUCCUGCAGCAUGCAGGCUCCUCCAUCAGGCAUUAGGACUGAUGACUCACCCUCCCUGCUCCUGCUCCCUCCCUUUAUCCUUCACAGGUCCAAGAAAAUGGAUGAGGUUUUGGGACUGACUCCCUCACUGCCCAAGAGGCAAAGAGGAUGGUCACAUCU